UACACUGCUUUGAUAGGAGCUAGUAAAAAUUAUGAUGCUAACUAGAGAGUGAAGUCCACCGGCUGAAAGACUUCUUAGCUAUAUUAAUUUUGAACCUGACCUGGAGCAUUUAGCAAUAAACUAAACGGUAGGAGCGUUAUAUCCUGUUGAGUGAGUGUAUGCAGUUCAUUGCAUACAUUAAUUAGAGUGGUACCGCGAGCCAUCGUCUCUAUA
rnacentral:ncRNA from 1 species